UUGCCCAUAGCGUAGUGGUAGUGCUUGCUGAAUGCCUGAUGAGAGGGCGCGGGUUCGAUCCCCCCUCGGCACA
rnacentral:tRNA from 1 species